UACGAAGGGGGCUAGCGUUGCUCGGAAUCACUGGGCGUAAAGCGCACGUAGGCGGAUAUUUAAGUCAGGGGUGAAAUCCCAGAGCUCAACUCUGGAACUGCCUUUGAUACUGGGUAUCUCGAGUAUGGAAGAGGUGAGUGGAAUUCCGAGUGUAGAGGUGAAAUUCGUAGAUAUUCGGAGGAACACCAGUGGCGAAGGCGGCUCACUAGGUCCAUUACUGACGCUGAGGUGCGAAAGCGUGGGGAGCAAAACAGGAUUGAGAA
rnacentral:rRNA from 1 species